rnacentral:rRNA from 1 species
UCCGUAGGUGAACCUGCGGAAGGAUCAUUACCGAGUUGAUUCGGGCUCCGGCCCGAUCCUCCCACCCUUUGUGUACCUACCUCUGUUGCUUUGGCGGGCCGCGGUUCUCCGCGGCCGCCCCCCUCCCCGGGGGGUGGCCAGCGCCCGCCAGAGGACCAUCAAACUCCAGUCAGUAAACGAUGCAGUCUGAAAAACAUUUAAUAAACUAAAACUUUCAACAACGGAUCUCUUGGUUCUGGCAUCGAUGAAGAACGCAGCGAAAUGCGAUAAGUAAUGUGAAUUGCAGAAUUCAGUGAAUCAUCGAAUCUUUGAACGCACAUUGCGCCCUUUGGUAUUCCGAAGGGCAUGCCUGUUCGAGCGUCAUUACAACCCUCAAGCUCUGCUUGGUAUUGGGCACCGUCCUUUGCGGGCGCGCCUCAAAGACCUCGGCGGUGGCGUCUUGCCUCAAGCGUAGUAGAACAUACAUCUCGCUUCGGAGCGCAGGGCGUCGCCCGCCGGACGAACCUUCUGAACUUUUCUCAAGGUUGACCUCGGAUCAGGUAGGGAUACCCACUGAACUUAAGCAUAUCAAUAAGCGGAGGA